GGGCCAAGAAGGCGGAAUGCGAGUCGGCUGUGGACACCACGGAGCUGUCGGCGAUGCUGCUGCGGGUGCAGCUGGAGGUGCGGCAGCAGAACAGGGACGUCCUGGAUGAGCUGCAGCAGCUGAGGCAUGAAGUACGGGUCGUGUCUGAGAGGCUGGAUGAAACAGCCUCUCGACAAGACCCGUGCAGUGUCUCAGCCUGCCUUGUCGACGGUGCCUCCAGUUCUUCCUCGGCUACCUGCCGGCAAUAUUAAAGAAGUAGAGGCAGCCGUGCGGGAUGAGGCUGUGGCUGCCACCUUGCGCAAGCACCUCCUGCAAAUAGGAGGGAAGUCAUUGCGCGAGGUGGCAUCGAAUGCCAUGAAGGCUGUAAUGGCGCACCCCGUCCAAGUGCUUUACAGCUUUCAUAGCAGGAAGGGGAAGAGGGCAUUCAUCAACUUGAAGUUAUGCCAGAUAGUCACAGGUAAAGCUUCCUUAGUCAUCCUUUUGCAUUGUUGAAGUAUUUUGUAUACAGCCGAACUCCUCUACAGCGAAAUGGCUUGCAUAACAAGAGAUUGUCCUUGCCAAAAUCCUGUCUUUCAUAUGAAUUGUCAACUUCUACAACGAAGAAAUUUAGGCGUCCCUGUUGGCUGAUUUCAUUUUUCACUAUGAAAGCGACAUACUCAGCCACCACUGCCCUUGCAGAAAUUGCGAAAGUGUGCUCUACAUUAGCACCAAUGGCAGCUUAGGUGAAUUGCUUGACGAGCAUGCCGAUGAAUUGCAUCAUACCAGGCAGCUUACACGUUUAGCAUCAGCGGGUGAGACAGUUGAAUAUGUCUCGGUUAGUAAAGACUUGGUGUGAUCAUCACUGAUGACGUUAACGCUAUGUUAGGGUGGAAAAACAGGAAUGUCAACGAAGGCAACAGCGAUGAAGAUCCUGUAAAUGGAUCAAGAAUUUUCAUGGUGGGGAAGGCGAUAGCAGCAUUUAAUUAUCCACAGGAAUACUUUGCGUAUCCUGCAUUUCGCCGCUGAGCAUGCUGUGAACCUCGAUUCAAUAACGUUGGCUGCGGUUGCAAAUUCUGUCAGAUAAACUGUGUGCUAAAGACUUAGCAACUUAUUUCACUAAGUCUCUUGAGUUCAUGUUAAGGUUUUCUUUUGUUGAAUGUGUUUGCCUGCUCUAUUGUGGGUGAUCUUUACGGUGCAUGUUGUAUGGACUAAUUGUGGUCUUUGUAUGGUUGUGUGCACAUGUCAUCUGUGCGAAAGGGGGGGGGGCGACCUGACAGAAGCACAGGACUUCAUUAAGAGGUGGUUGCCAGGGUCUGUGGACAGGGGUGUUGGCAGGAAGAGGCGUUUCGCAGAAACGCUUGCAGCAGAGAAGCCCGAUGAUCCCUCCCUUUGGGGCAGGAAUCAUUGCCGGCCCACUGCUGCCCUCUCCCUGCCCCACCCUAGCCCUCAGGUCCCUGGCCAUUCCACUGUCGGCCCCUCCUGUCCGGCUGCUGCUGCCCCUGCUCCUGCAGUCCCUGCCGCCCCUGCCCCUCCUCCUGCUGCUACCCCUGGAGCUGAGCACCCCUACUGAUGCCUGCAUCAGUUCAAGAAUUGUAUUCUAAAUAAAUUAUAUUUU